UACAGAGGUCCCAAGCGUUGUUCGGAUUCACUGGGCGUAAAGGGUGCGCAGGUGGUCGGGUAAGUCUGAUGUGAAAUCCCGCAGCUUAACUGCGGAAUGGCAUUGGAUACUAUUCGGCUGGAGGGUUGGAGGGGGGACUGGAAUUCUCGGUGUAGCAGUGAAAUGCGUAGAUAUCGAGAGGAACACCAGUGGCGAAGGCGAGUCCCUGGACAACUCCUGACGCUGAGGCACGAAAGCUAGGGGAGCAAACAGG
rnacentral:rRNA from 1 species